GACUGUCGGCAACGAAUAUCUCGGCUCUCGCAUCGAUGAAGAACGUAGCGAAAUGCGAUACCUGGUGUGAAUUGCAGAAUCCCGCGAACCAUCGAGUCUUUGAACGCAAGUUGCGCCCGAGGCCACUCGGCCGAGGGCACGCCUGCCUGGGCGUCA
rnacentral:rRNA from 16 species